CCCUACGGGGGGCAGCAGUGGGGAAUAUUGGGCAAUGGACGCAAGUCUGACCCAGCAACGCCGCGUGAAGGAAGAAGGCUUUCGGGUUGUAAACUUCUUUUAAGGGGGAAGAGCAGAAGACGGUACCCCUUGAAUAAGCCACGGCUAACUACGUGCCAGCAGCCGCGGUAAUACGUAGGGAGCAAGCGUUAUCCGGAUUUACUGGGUGUAAAGGGCGUGUAGGCGGGCUUGUAAGUCAGAAGUGAAAUCUGGGGGCUUAACCCCCAAACUGCUUUUGAAACUGCGGGUCUUGAGUGAUGGAGAGG
rnacentral:rRNA from 1 species